UACGUAGGGUGCAGGCGUUAAUCGGAAUUACUGGGCGUAAAGCGUGCGCAGGCGGCUCCUUAAGUCAGAUGUGAAAGCCCCGGGCUUAACCUGGGAACUGCGUUUGAAACUGUGGAGCUGGAGUGUAGAAGAGGGGGGUGGAAUUCCAGGUGUAGCAGUGAAAUGCGUAGAUAUCUGGAGGAACACCGAUGGCGAAGGCAGCCCCCUGGGCUAACACUGACGCUCAUGCACGAAAGCGUGGGGAGCAAACAGG
rnacentral:rRNA from 1 species